AUUGAACGCUGGCGGCAGGCCUAACACAUGCAAGUCGAACGGUAGCACAGAGAGCUUGCUCUCGGGUGACGAGUGGCGGACGGGUGAGUAACGUCUGGGAAACUGCCCGAUGGAGGGGGAUAACUACUGGAAACGGUAGCUAAUACCGCAUAACGUCGCAAGACCAAAGUGGGGGACCUUCGGGCCUCACACCAUCGGAUGUGCCCAGAUGGGAUUAGCUAGUAGGUGGGGUAAUGGCUCACCUAGGCGACGAUCCCUAGCUGGUCUGAGAGGAGGACCAGCCACCCUGGAACUGAGACACGGUCCAGACUCCUACGGGAGGCAGCAGUGGGGAAUAUUGCACAAUGGGCGCAAGCCUGAUGCAGCCAUGCCGCGUGUAUGAAGAAGGCCUUCGGGUUGUAAAGUACUUUCAGCGGGGAGGAAGGCGGUGAAGUUAAUAGCUUCACCGAUUGACGUUACCCGCAGAAGAAGCACCGGCUAACUCCGUGCCAGCAGCCGCGGUAA
rnacentral:rRNA from 1 species